AAAUCCGUGACGGCUGGGAGCAGCUCCGAGGGCAGGGUCACUUGCACCUCGAGUUCACAUGGAGUCGGCACCUCUUAGCUCGAGCCUUUAGCUUGGAUGGUUGGGACCGUGAGGAGGGUGUCACUCUCGCUCAUGUUAAGGGUCCAGCUCUCGUAGACUCUUGUUAUUCAUCCUUGCAGGUUUAUUCUCUGCCAGGCGCGUUGUCAUUCUCCCCUUUGUUGCUUCCCAAGAAGAAAGGAAAAGCUUAGAGCAGUUUAGAAACACCCUAAGGUCACACAGCCAGCAAGCGGCAGAACUGAAAUAGGAACCCAGUCCGUCUGCCAGACUGAGCUCUUACCAGCCACACCGCCUGAGAGGAGCGCCCCGGCCCCUGCAGUGACAACAGCAACAAGCAGCCGCAGGCGUCCAUCGGCUUCCUGACAUCACAGCAGAACCAAGUCUGAAGCUUCUUGGGGUGGUCCUCGAGGACCCCCACCGUAUUUUCCUGGACUCCUGGCCACGCUAAGGUUCCUGUGAACAGACACAAGUGCACAAGGUCACCGAUAAAGAGUUGUGCUCCUGGAAGGGGGCCCCUUGUUUUUGGCGGGGAAAUCAUAAAGGAGCUUAUACCCCGUGUCUCCUCGGUUAGAACUGGGACACAUCAUCAAGCAAAUCAGGUUGCUUGCCCCUUCUGCCCACAGGAGAUGGGUGGCAUCUGCACCUUCCUCCCUCUCUCUGUUUGAGGCCAAGAACUGUCAACAUCCAGCUGUGGCUUUAUAUUCAGCUGCCACUCAGCUGGUUGGAGUUGAAAGGUCAAAUGUCAUGGGGAAUUAGCAGCCCGGUUUACCAGCAGCACUUCUGUGCUCAGAGGGCGCGAGGGCGCCUGUCAGUGACCUUAGGCAGGGACUAGAGACAGAAUUCCCUCUCACACAGACACGCCUUCAUCUGCUUAUUUGCUUAUUAAUGUUGGACUGAAGUGGAAAGGAGUUGUAUUUUCCUGGAAGCACCCCAUUUCUUUGAGCCGAACUUCUUCAAUCGUGUCAUUCUGGUAGGGCCUGCCAUUCACAGCACCUCACUCCCCUAGCCACAGGUGGGCACAUGACCCAGGCCCAGCCAAUCAGAGUGACCCCUCCUACCGCAGGAUGGGACCCAUCACUUCCUGGGCAGGUGGAGUUGCAAGGAAGAUUCUCUUACCUGUUGGGGCCACUGUCCUGGAAGGACCUGAUCUGGGUUGCUGGCAGCCAUUUCCCAGCGCACGUUGAGAACGCACUUGCCAUA
rnacentral:lncRNA from 1 species